rnacentral:rRNA from 1 species
UACGUAGGUGACAAGCGUUGUCCGGAUUUACUGGGCGUAAAGAGCGCGCAGGCGGUCGUUCAAGUCGAGUGUGAAAGCCCCCGGCUCAACUGGGGAGGGUCACUCGAUACUGAUCGACUCGAAGGCAGGAGAGGGAAGUGGAAUUCCCGGUGUAGUGGUGAAAUGCGUAGAUAUCGGGAGGAACACCUGUGGCGAAAGCGGCGCACUGGACCAUAACUGGACGCUGAUGCGCGAAAGCUAGGGGAGCAAACAGG